rnacentral:rRNA from 1 species
GACGAACGCUGGCGGCGUGCUUAACACAUGCAAGUCGAACGGAAAGGCCCCUUUGGGGGUACUCGAGUGGCGAACGGGUGAGUAACACGUGAGUAACCUGCCUUCGACUUCGGGUUAACUUCAGGAAACUGGGGCUAAUACCGGAUAGGAAUCCUUGCUGCAUGGUGGGGGUUGGAAAGCUUCGGCGGUUUUGGAUGGACUCGCGGCUUAUCAGCUUGUUGGUGGGGUAGUGGCUUACCAAGGCUUUGACGGGGAGCCGGCCUGAGUGGGCGACCGGCCACAUUGGGACUGGGAUACGGGCCAGACUCCUACGGGGGGCAACCGUUGGGGAUAUUGCACAAUGGGCGGGAGCCUGAUGCAGCCACGCCGCGGGCGGGAUGACGGCCUUCGGGUUGUAAACCGCUUUCAGCAGGGGCGAAACUUGUGGUGACGGUACCUGCAGAAGAAGCACCGGCUAACUACGUG